UCCUUUCUUUCAGAAUAUCCGAGCUAAGGACCUUGUUAAGGUGAAAUGGCUCGGAAUAAAUCCUUCCUCCUUGCGGUGUUGUCUUUUCUUUGAGAAUAUUCGAGCCAAGAACCUUGUUAAGGUGAAAUGGCUCGGAAUGGAUGCUUCCUCCUUGCGGUAUUGCAUUUUUCUUUGAGAAUAUCUGAGCCAAGAUCCUUGUUAAGGUGAAAUGGCCCGGAAUGGAUGCUUCCUCGUUGUGGUGUUUCUUUGAGACUAUCCGAG
rnacentral:lncRNA from 1 species